rnacentral:tRNA from 1 species
UCUAACGUGGCAGAUAAGUGCGGUGGAUUUAAGCUCCAAACAUAAAACCUCGGGUUUUCAUUAGAA